rnacentral:tRNA from 47 species
GCCGGAAUAGCUCAGUUGGUAGAGCAGAGGACUGAAAAUCCUCGUGUCAC